rnacentral:rRNA from 1 species
GCUUACAGCUGUACCACCCUGUGUCUGCCUGCUCUCUUUAGAUCUGAGAAGCAAAAAAAAAAGGAUGGGGCCAUGUUGGUAUUAGGCUUGGAGAUCACCUGGGAAUACAAGAUGCUGUAAGCU